UGAAUUGAUUCUUGUUUCAUUGAAUUAUUGAAUAUAGAGGAGUUGUUCUGAGUUGUAUAUUGAAAUUGAAUUGUUUCUUGUUUCAUUGAAUAUAGAGGAGUUGUUCUGUUGCAAGUUGUUCUAGUUUUGUUGUUUUAAAAUCUGAGAAAAACUAUUUAUAGAUAAUGGUGAACUUAAACAAGAAAUGGGCAUGCAGUUUGCUGAUUACUUAAUUGUGUACUCACAACACAUAGGAUUUCUCCGACACAGUUUCCAGUACAGAACUGCCACAGGAAUCUCCAGUGGAGUUGCAACCGCUCUCACGGACGUCCACAAAUCAAGUUACAAAACU
rnacentral:misc_RNA from 1 species